rnacentral:lncRNA from 1 species
CGCAUUGGAUGUUAUCUCAGCCCUUUUCAUCAGCUUUUUGUAGCUGUGGAUGAAGCUAAGGGCUAUAUACAAUCAUGUACUCCAAGUGUUUGAGAAAGUCUGAAUUCUGUUAAUGAUUUUGCUGUGCUGUAGCCAUCAAUAUUGAAGGCCUCUAACUUUGACUUUUUUUUUCACUGUAUUGUUUGAAGGGUCUCCAUGUCUUUCUUACACCUUCUACGGGAAAACAACAUCAAUGGGGAAAGCCAGCUAAAAUGAGGACCUUAGCAUCAUGUUCAUGGAGUUGCUGUGCUUAUCUUGUUCUGGAUGGGAUCGUCAGCUGCAGAUGUGAAGGUGUAUGACCUAU